AGUAAAGCAGUUAUUGCAAGAUGUUCACUGUUCACUGUUGUAAUUGAAAGAACAUACACAUAAAUAAUAGCAAAAACACGUGUGCCUUACACUUAUACUUGUUAACAAUAAAACAAAUAUUAGUCACUACCAACAAGUGGUUAAUGUUCUUCCGUAAUUGUAAUAAAACACUAAAUGGAUAUCCUCAACAGUUGAAAAAAUCUAAAAGACCAAAUAAUUAACGUCAGAGAAUCGAUCAUUUUGAAUGUGAUACGUCAAUAAUUUACUCUUAGAAUAGGAGAAUACAUUGAUAACAGGUUGCGAAAUGAAAACCCUUAGAAAAAUAGAUGGUCAGACACUAUGGGACAAAGCUAGAAGUACAGACAUGCGACACAUAUGCAAGAUGGAGAAAAUUAUAACUGGGUAAGAAAGAGAAGAGUAGAAUGGAAUGACCGCAUAAGCCGAAUGGCAACAAAUAGAGUGGUAAGCAUACAAGUAGGACAACAGUAGGAAGACGGUCAGUGACAAGCAGGGCCGUCUUAAGCACACACGGCGCCGGGGUGCAAUACUCGUCUUUGCGCCCCCUUUGGUCAGAAGAUUAUAUACGUUAUAGGUACGGUAAAAUUAAAACUAAUUAAACUAUAUUAAAAAAAAAAACGUGGUUUCAGUAUUCAAACAAGAUCAAUUUUAUAACACAUAUCAAAGUCAAUUUUUCUAGCUUUUAAUUUGGCAAAAGUUUUUAUUACUUCGGUGGUAUCUAUUUUUACCUGCUUUUCUAUACUUAAGUAUUAAAGCCGGGUUUGUUAAUCUGUCUUGGGCCAUUGUUGAGUGCAGAUAAGUUUUGA
rnacentral:lncRNA from 1 species